AGGACGAACGCUGGCGGCGUGCUUAACACAUGCAAGUCGAACGGUGAAGCCCUUCGGGGUGGAUCAGUGGCGAACGGGUGAGUAACACGUGAGCAAUCUGCCUUGACUCUGGGAUAACUUCGGGAAACCGGAGCUAAUACCGGAUAUGACAUACGGCCGCAUGGUCUGUGUGUGGAAAGAUUUAUCGGUCAGGGAUGAGCUCGCGGCCUAUCAGCUUGUUGGUGGGGUAAUGGCCCACCAAGGCGACGACGGGUA
rnacentral:rRNA from 1 species